GACGAACGCUGGCGGCGUGCCUAAUACAUGCAAGUAGAACGCUGAAGAGAGGAGCUUGCUCUUCUUGGAUGAGUUGCGAACGGGUGAGUAACGCGUAGGUAACCUACCUGGUAGCGGGGGAUAACUAUUGGAAACGAUAGCUAAUACCGCAUGACAUUGAUUAUCGCAUGAUAAUUAAUUGAAAGAUGCAACUGCAUCACUACCAGAUGGACCUGCGUUGUAUUAGCUAGUUGGUGAGGUAACGGCUCACCAAGGCGACGAUACAUAGCCGACCUGAGAGGGUGAUCGGCCACACUGGGACUGAGACACGGCCCAGACUCCUACGGGAGGCAGCAGUAGGGAAUCUUCGGCAAUGGGGGGAACCCUGACCGAGCAACGCCGCGUGAGUGAAGAAGGUUUUCGGAUCGUAAAGCUCUGUUGUAAGAGAAGAACGG
rnacentral:rRNA from 1 species